UUUGUCUCUAAAUUCAUUUGGAAAGAAAGCCAGAGCAGCCCCAGGUGUGAACUGUGAGGAUAAGGAGGGGCCGGCUCCUGCCGGCAGCUGUUUUAGGGGCUUUGCCUCAGCUGAUUUUACAGGGAGCUGCUGGAGAAGAGGAGUUUAUGGGUGGCUCCUGGGGCUGUCCUUGGAAGGACGGUGACAGCUUCGGACAGGGUCUGGGGGAUCACCUGGAUACGCACUUGGAUACCUGGAGCAUUGCUCAGAGGAGGUGCCGAGGGACAAACCUUUGUGCCAGGUAGCGGCAGCCAAACAGGGGCUGAAACUGAAGGGGAGAACACAUUUAUUUGCCCUUGUUGAAGUGAGGCGAGCACCUGAGUGUGGCGGAAAUGCAGGAGAACGCGAAAGCAUCGGGGCAGAGCAGCCGCUGGAGGUGCCCGAGCCGUCUCCCCCUUGCCCGCAGGGCCGGAGUUGCCCACCGCCGGCAGCUGACAGGUCCGUGCUGGAGAGUGGGAGAAGGGUCCCUGCUGGCUGCCGUGUCCUGGGUGGGCACAGAGCUCUGACCUUGGCCAGAUGGGCUGGUUUCCGGGUGUUUUGAUCCUGACGUCGCCAAAGCCUCAGUUUGCUGAAUUGGGGCUCUUACCUGUGUGACCCGUGAAAUGUCCCGGAAGCUGAUCGAUGUCUUCCUGCUCCCGCUGUGUUCAUUUGGGCUGUGCUUCAGGCUUCUCUCCCUGGGCCCUUGCCGUUGCCGUAUCUCUUGGAUGCCGUGCAGAACGGAAUCAGGCAGCCAAGCCUCAGAGGAGCACGUGUACAUAAGGGUAAAGAGAUUCCUUCUGUCACACCGGUGUUUGGACCUGAGGAAGGUACCAGGUUUU